UAGAUGGUGCCCACGCACUCUCCCUAGGAUCUUUACCCUUUCCUAGAAACUGUCGUGGGCACUAAAAA
rnacentral:ncRNA from 1 species